GAAACAAGUUCUAAAGACUUAGACGGUGGAGAACAUUUUCUUCACUCCACAUUGUAUUAGGUUGGUGCAAAAGUAAUUGCUGUUUUUGCAUUACUUUUUAAAAAAUGGCAAAAACUGCAAUUACUUUUGCACUAACCUGUCUUGUAAUUUUUUGUUUUUCUCAAAAGGGUACUUUACUAGCCACAGUUCUUCAUCCUGCACGCGCACACACACACACACACACACACACACACAUCUAUUGUUUAUUCUGCUAUUGAAGCAGUUACAUAACAGGUUACCUGCAAAAUGGGAGCUGGAAAAACAUACAUAGUUUUAAUAAAGAUCAAGCGACAUUAGAGUCUAUCAUGGAAGAGCUCGAUAUAUCCAAACUGGGAAACUAUGAAUCAAAAUUUCAUUAGAGAAAUAUUAGUGACUAUUCUGACUUUUUUUUGUUUUUCCCUUUUUGAUAUUAGCCAGCUCUUCCUAAAAGUCUCUAGGCUGUUUCAUCUGGAGUUCCCAAGCCCUCUUUCUCAUUCAUGAUAUCUACUUGGAAAUUAGGUGUCUCAGUACAGCUGCUUGCUAAUUGUAAUUUAAUUUGAAUCUCACUUAAGAAAGCAUUUUCUUUGGAGGGGGAGAAAUCUUCAAGGAAAAAAAUACUUUCAGGUCUUGAUUUGUAUAACUAACCCUUGCACUUGGUAGGUCAUUAGAUCUCACUAGUUUGUAAUGCAAUCAGAGUCAGCAUUCUGCUCUUAAGGGCUACUCGGUAAUUUGCUUGUUAAUAUAUUAGCACACAGCAUUGAUCAAAUGGCUAAUCCAAUCACACGCUUGUAAUCGAUCUCUUAUUGAUUACCUAGUCUGGUGAUCACUUUUGUUGGGUUCAGUCAAUAGUAAAUGCCAAGUAGCCUUUCACACACCUAAUUAGCUUAUGAAAUAAACCAAACAUUUUGCUUGGCCCUGAAGGCAAAGAUCAAUGGAAAGCUUUGGGGCUGAAUUCAGAUGAUUUUUUCAUCAACUUUUCUUCCUCUCUUCUGCAGCCACUCAAGUUCACAUUAACACUCUCCCUCUGGUUUGAAGACAUCUGAAAAGCAGCUGCCAUGGUGGAGACGCUGAAGCAGCUGAAUUUCCAGUUUGUAAAUUGGAAAGCGCUGGAAAGCUGAGCCCCACUCAGUAACAAGACAACUCCAAUCAAAGCAAGUGUUUGCAGGCAUCAAAGUCAAGCUUGGCUGGGACAGCCAAGGGCAGCCCAGAGGUCCUUCUCAUAGUACUACCUUCUCAUAGUACUACCCUGUCUUGAGCAAAGCCCCUUCUGGGACCAUCAGCAGGAUUUGGCUGACUAACAGAGGGCAAAUUUCAUGCUGGUUUGAGCCUAAUGCCUCUUUGUUUUUACUGCAUUUUUACUUACAAAGGGACUUGUGCAAAACAAAACAUAGAAUAAGAUUUCAAAGUUUUAGGGGGCAAUGUGGGUUUGGCUACAAAUUUUCAGAGGAACAUAAAACCAAAAACACAAGCUGUGGCCUUAUUCUGAGUAAUUUCAGAAGAAAAUAAGCCCUUUUGGAAAUGUAUGCACAUACAUUUCUGAUGUAGGUUGGAAUGUGCUGGUUGCAAUGCUGGAGAUGUGGAUUUACAAUAUGCAUUGGAAUUAGGCAAACCUGAGUUCAUGUCACACUUCUGCUAUUUAUUAUUUAUGUAGCCUGAGAGAAGUCCCUUAAUUUCUUGAUUCUUUAAUUUCCCGCACCUUACAAUGAGCAUAAUGAGAGUGCUUACCCCAUAGAAGAGGGAUUAUUAAAUGAGACAAAUUACAGAAGGCACUUUCAGCAAUGCCUACCAUGUAUUAAGUGUUCAGUAAAUGCCAAGUUGUUGUUGUAAGUCUUAUAAGAUCUACCACUUGGUUGAACUUCACUAAGAUUCCGAAGAGUUCUCUCUCUCUUUCUUUCCUGCCUCCCACCGCCUGCAUUGGAGCUGCCUUCUUUGCCACCAUGUUUGGAAUUUGGUAACACCAAUUCCAAAAUGUUUUACAAAAGGAUGCACAAGUGAUUCUGGGAAGCUAAAAUGACAAUCCCAUCAGAAUUGGCAUGUUCCCUGAGAAAAUGCAAACACUAAAAGAUAAGAGAUUUGAGGAAAUCAUACAAUGGAAUUUGAAUUCUUAGUGGAUCUAGCCAUUCCAAAUAUUUUCAUAGGAUAUGUUCAAAGUGACUUGGAAAAAGAGUAAAAACAAAGUUAAGAAAGCUAAAGGAAUUGAUAAUAUGUGCCAUUCAGAGAAAAUCUUUUUUGCUUUGGAACAUUUUAAAUGAUCACAUGAAAAGAUUUUUGGAUCUUACAUUAAAUUAUUGCUUACUAAUUUGCAAGAUAAAAGAGAAUUGGGAUGGAAAUAUAAUUUUCUAUUGAGUGAAAAUGAAUACAAAUUAAAGUGUUACAUUCUUAGGUUAGAAAAUGUGCUUGACUUCAAAAAGAGUUUUGGGAUUCACUCAUAUUCCCAUAUAUAUUUAAUGAAAUGUAACAUGCUACUGAAACAUUGCUUUCUGCCAAUACUUUAUGCCAGAGUCUAAGAAACGCUGAGGAUUAAUAGCAGAGAAAAAUGCUCCUCUGUUUGGCUGAAUAAACAUUACACAAACACUAAACUCUGUGUGGGAUCAUUAGUUUUUUCAUCACACUAUUUCUAGAAUUGAAAAAUCACAAAUCCUUCUCCAGCUUAGUUCUUUUUUGCAACAAAAGCAUUACUCAGACCAGCUAAAAUGUAUUCUUUAGGAUUCUGACAUCUCCGGAAUGUCAAACAGGUUCAGUGGACACCAAGUACAGAUUCUCUCUUUCAUGUGGAAAGGUUAAGUAAGAAAAGACUUCAUGUGAGGAAACUGCCCCAUCAUUCACAGUUAUUUUAAUUUAAUCUGAGUGUGCUUCAAUUUACAUAUAAACUGGAAUGUUGUCUCAGAAAAAAAAAUCUAUUUCAAGGAAAUCAACCUUUGGAGUAAAUAAAACUGACAAUUUAAAAAAGUGAUGAACAUUUUAAGACUAUAUAUGCAUUUGAGAGAAGCCAGCAUAACCAUAAUGUAAGAUUAGCCUUAUUUUAAUAUGAACUAUCCAUAAAAACAUUAUGCAUAUAUUCUUUGACUCAAACAAUUGGUUUUAUAGCCUUCUGAAAUUUUGAAAGACUUAUGGUCUUUAAUAUGCUAUAGCUGUUAACCAGAUAAGCAUAUUUUUCUGGAAGAUAUUCCUUUCAUAGAAUAUAAAUUAACCACAGACAUGACAAAAUGGCCAAAGCUGGCAGGAAGAGGAGAGAGCUGGAUGAUAUUAAGAAAUUAAAUGAAUAAAAUAUGGUAAACUUUUGUCAACAAAUAUUUAACCAUGGAAUUGUUUUUAUUGUAACCUUAAAAGAAGAGAA
rnacentral:lncRNA from 1 species